UCCUGAUCUUCAGUUGCUUACAUGUUGGUGAGCAGACACACACAGUUUAAAUGUGUGUAUAGGAUUCCAGGGUACUGCUGCCUGUGACAGAGAAAAGCAUUGUUGAAUUGAGCUUGAGUAUUUGGCAAGGAUUCCUUGAGCUGGGGAGCCACCGCGCCUAGCCGUAUGAAAUGUUUUGAAUGACAGAGACAGAUGAAAGAAUGAGAACAGAAGAAAGAUUUGACAAUUAGGAGACCAGUGGUGACCUAGGGAGUAGCAUUUUUCCUACUGUUAGAGUGAUAGGGUGAUGGAAACCAGAAUACAGAAGGUUAAGGAGAUGUUUAGUGAGGAAAUGGAGGCAGUGAAUGUAUUCAUUUUGUGAAAUACAGUUUAUGUAGUUGUUGCUUACAAGAUAGAACAUGAAGUUUCAGGAGUGCUUGGAAGGUAAUUUUUCUGAGCCUUUGUUUUUGAGAGUAAUCCGGAUGU
rnacentral:lncRNA from 1 species